AAAUCGUGGGGAAGUAGUUGUCUCUUCAACCUCACCUCAAGAAGAGGGAGGCGGAGGACCGAGAGGGGUUUUGAGUGGGAGAACUUUCUAGUAUGGGCACGGAUCUGUUUUCAGUUCAGGUAGCUAGUCAAUCGUACUCUGAAAUCCAAGCAACAAGCAGUCGAAACAUUGAGCCAGAAGCUAAUAAAAAAUUCCUGCAAGCAACCCAGGCGGCAGUAAUGGAGAACAGGUCUGAAACUUAACCUGAAAUUUCAUAUUCCAGCAAGGAUUCGAACUCAGGAACAUGUAGGGGGAGUCGUUUAGGAGUAACGGUAGCUAUUCCCAAAGUUGUGCUACCUGUAGCUCCAAUCAGAAUAUUUGCAAAACCUUUUUCUGUCUGAAGGAACAGCUGCAGGAAUUAACGAAUGGAAGAAGAGAAGACGGAAGAGACGAGGAGACGAUAAAAUCAGGGAAGGAGAGGGAGAAAGGACAGAUGUUUGGUGAUGGUUUGCAAAAUGCCUCAUCGAAUGAAACACCACCGUAUCCUUGGGUGUCUUCACCUCGGGUUAUCCCAACAUGUGGGGUAUCAACCGGAUGGGCUGCUGUUCGUCCUCCGCCUCGAUUCCCAGUUCGCGGGGCACUGGAGUUUUCCUUGCCCCCUCCAAGCUGGGGCCAGUCCCUACCUCAAGGACACAAGACACUAGCAACUCCCAGUGAAGUGCACUGGAAAGUCUCCGGAAAAAGAAUUGAGAUGGUUUGUAUAGAUCCAAUAGUAGGGGAACUUUAGAGUUUCUAAUUUUUUUUUUUCCUUUUUCUGGUAAGUAGUUCAGAGUUGGUUUUAAAAUUUGACAUGUAUAUAAAUUAUUCCCUAUGAUCAAUUAGUUGAAAUCGCCA